AUACCAUGGUGAGGGCAUUUCCUAAGUAGUUCUUUAAAUCUUUCCCAAGCUUCAAACAAUGACUCAUCACCUCCUUGCCUAAAUGAGGUGAUCUCAUUUCUCAUCUU